GACCAUCCUCCAAGGCUAAAUACUCCUGACUGACCGAUAGUGAACCAGUACCGUGAGGGAAAGGCGAAAAGAACCCCGGCGAGGGGAGUGAAAAAGAACCUGAAACCGUGUACGUACAAGCAGUGGGAGCACAGGUUUACCUGUGUGACUGCGUACCUUUUGUAUAAUGGGUCAGCGACUUAUAUUCUGUAGCAAGGUUAACCGAAUAGGGGAGCCGGAGGGAAACCGAGUCUUAAUUGGGCGUUAAGUUGCAGGGUAUAGACCCGAAACCCGGUGAUCUAGCCAUGGGCAGGUUGAAGGUUGGGUAACACUAACUGGAGGACCGAACCGACUAAUGUUGAAAAAUUAGCGGAUGACCUGUGGCUGGGGGUGAAAGGCCAAUCAAACCGGGAGAUAGCUGGUUCUCCCCGAAAGCUAUUUAGGUAGCGCCUCGUGAAUUCAUCUCCGGGGGUAGAGCACUGUUUCGGCUAGGGGGCCAUCCCGGCUUACCAACCCGAUGCAAACUGCGAAUACCGGAGAAUGUUAUCACGGGAGACACACGGCGGGUGCUAACGUCCGUCGUGAAGAGGGAAACAACCCAGACCGCCAGCUAAGGUCCCAAAGUCAUGGUUAAGUGGGAAACGAUGUGGGAAGGCCCAGACAGCCAGGAUGUUGGCUUAGAAGCAGCCAUCAUUUAAAGAAAGCGUAAUAGCUCACUGGUCGAGUCGGCCUGCGCGGAAGAUGUAACGGGGCUAAACCAU
rnacentral:rRNA from 1 species